rnacentral:rRNA from 1 species
CAGUAGCCGCGGUAAUACGUAGGUGGCAAGCGUUGUCCGGAAUUAUUGGGCGUAAAGGGCUCGCAGGCGGUUUCUUAAGUCUGAUGUGAAAGCCCCCGGCUCAACCGGGGAGGGUCAUUGGAAACUGGGAAACUUGAGUGCAGAGGAGGAGAGUGGAAUUCCACGUGUAGCGGUGAAAUGCGUAGAGAUGUGGAGGAACACCAGUGGCGAAGGCGACUCUCUGGUCUGUAACUGACGCUGAGGAGCGAAAGCGUGGGGAGCGAACAGGAUUAGAUACCCGCGUAGUCCCUGUCUCUUAUAC